AGGGGGGGUCCCCAAUAUUUGGGCAGAGUCCCCAAAAUCGGGGGGGGAGGGGGCUUAGGGGGGACUUAGGAGUCCGGGGGGGUCCCCAAAAUCAGGGGGGGUCCCCAAAAUCGGUGGGGUGGGGUUCAGGGGGGAGGCGUGUCCGUACCGGGGGGGCCGUGGGUGAUGGUUCGAUUCUCCUCGGGGGGUGUGUGUGGGGGGCCCCCCUAGUUGCCCCCUCCUCGUUGCCCCCCCCCCAGGUGAUGCUCCAGGAUGCAGCAGCGAUACCAGCAAGCAGCGCCAGGCCUCCCCCAGGGCCUCCCAGUACGACCCACUGCCACCCAGUAUGGCCCGGGGAUUCCCAAUUCCCCCCAGCGUCCCCCCCAAGUCCAUCCCAGUACGACCUAUUGCCUCCCAGUAUGGACCAGCAUAACCCAGUAUGGACCACUAUAUGCCAAUAUGGACUGGGAGACCCCCAAUAUUCCCCCCCCAGGGCCUCCCAGUACGACCCAGUGCCACCCAGUAUGGCCCAGGGACCCCCAGUAUCACCCAAAGCACCCCAAAAUCCCUCUCUAUCCCCUCAAGUGCCUCCCAGGAUGGACCAGUAGCGCCCAGGAUGGACUGGGAGACACCCAAUCUCCCCCCUCCCCAGGGCUGCUCAGUCCCUCCCGAUGCCUCCCAGUACACCCCAGUCCCUCCCAGUAUAUCCCAGGCCCUCCCAGUGCCUCUAGCUCCCUCCCACUACCUCCCAGUCCCCUCCCAGUUACCUCCCACUAUAUCCCAGUCCCUCCCAAUCUGCUCCCAGUCUAUCCCAGUCCCUCCCAGUGCCCUCCCAGUGCCCCUCCAAGUAUAUCCCAGUACCCUCCAGUGCCCCUCCAGUCCCUCCCAGUGCCCAUCCAGACCCUCCCAGUGCCCUCUCAGUAUAUCCCAGUGCCCUCCAGUCCUUCCCAGGCCCUCCCAGUGCCCCUCCCGGUGCCCUUCCACUCUCCCCGAGUCCCUCCCAAUGCCCUCCCAGUAUAUCCCAGUGCCCCUCCAGUCCCUCCCACUAUAUCCCAGUAUUUCCCAAUCCCCUCCCAGUGCCCUCCCAGUCCUUACUGGUAGCCAACUGGGAAGAGCCGCCCGUCGCACUCCGACAGCUCGGUCAGGGCCCCCAGGCUGGCGAUGCGGAUGGACCCUGCGACCCCCCCCACCCCAAAAACAAUCAGCGACCCAACCCCCCGGCACCCAUGGGUGCUGGGAACCCCCCCGAACCCCCCCUUGGGUGCCCCCCAGACCCCCCUCCCCACCCAA
rnacentral:lncRNA from 1 species